rnacentral:rRNA from 1 species
GAUGAACGCUAGCGGGAGGCCUAACACAUGCAAGCCGAGCGGUAUUGUUUCUUCGGAAAUGAGAGAGCGGCGUACGGGUGCGUAACACGUGUGCAACCUGCCUUUAUCUGGGGGAUAGCCUUUCGAAAGGAAGAUUAAUACUCCAUAAUAUAUUGAACGGCAUCGUUUAAUAUUGAAAGCUCCGGCGGAUAGAGAUGGGCACGCGCAAGAUUAGCUAGCUGGUGAGGUAACGGCUCACCAAGGCGAUGAUCUUUAGGGGGCCUGAGAGGGUGAUCCCCCACACUGGUACUGAGACACGGACCAGACUCCUACGGGAGGCAGCAGUGAGGAAUAUUGGUCAAUGGGUGCAAGCCUGAACCAGCCAUCCCGCGUGAAGGACGACUGCCCUAUGGGUUGUAAACUUCUUUUGUAUAGGGAUAAACCUACCCUCGAGAGGGUAGCUGAAGGUACUAUACGAAUAAGCACCGGCUAACUCCGUG